UACGUAGGGGGCAAGCGUUGUUCGGAAUUACUGGGCGUAAAGGGCGCGUAGGCGGCACGGCAAGUCGGGAGUGAAAGCCCGGGGCUCAACCCCGGAGGGUCUCUCGAAACUGCCGAGCUAGAGUGCGGAAGAGGCAAUCGGAAUUCCCAGUGUAGCGGUGAAAUGCGUAGAUAUUGGGAAGAACACCGGAGGCGAAGGCGGAUUGCUGGGCCGACACUGACGCUGAGGCGCGAAAGCCAGGGGAGCAACCGGG
rnacentral:rRNA from 1 species